rnacentral:tRNA from 1 species
GAGGAUAUAGCCUAAGUGGUAGAGUGCAUGCUUAGCAUGCAUAAGGUACUGGGGUUCAAUCCCCAGUACCCUCU